AAGUCGAACGGAACAGGCCGCAAGGUGCUGACGAGUGCGGACGGGUAGUAAUACGUAGGUAUCUGCCCUGUAGUGGGGGAUAACCCGGGGAAACCCGGGCUUAAUACCGCAUACGCUCCUUUAUUGUUGAGAUAGGAGAGGAAAGCGAGGGACCGAAAGGCCUCGCGCUAGAGGAUGAGCCUACGUCCGAUUAGCUAGUUGGUAGGGUAAAGGCUUACCAAGGCGACGAUCGGUAGCUGGUCUGAGAGGAUGGCCAGCCACACUGGGACUGAGACACAGCCCAGACUCCUACGGGAGGCAGCAGUGGGGAAUAUUGGACAAUGGGGGAAACCCUGAUCCAGCGAUGCCGCGUGGGUGAAGAAGGCCUGCGGGUUGUAAAGCCCUUUCAGUGGGGAAGAAAAACGGGGUGUGAACAGCGCCUCGUCUUGACGUUA
rnacentral:rRNA from 1 species